CUAAACCGGCGUUUGGCUUGCUAUCCAUGCAAGUCGACGAACUUCCGUUAAUUGAUUAUGAAGUGCUUGCACUGAAUGAGAUUUUAACACGAAGUGAGUGGCGGACGGGUGAGUAACACGUGGGUAACCUGCCCAGAAGCAGGGGAUAACACCUGGAAACAGAUGCUAAUACCGUAUAACAGAGAAAACCGCCUGGUUUUCUUUUAAAAGAUGGCUCUGCUAUCACUUCUGGAUGGACCCGCGGCGCAUUAGCUAGUUGGUGAGGUAACGGCUCACCAAGGCGAUGAUGCGUAGCCGACCUGAGAGGGUAAUCGGCCACAUUGGGACUGAGACACGGCCCAGACUCCUACGGGAGGCAGCAGUAGGGAAUCUUCCACAAUGGACGCAAGUCUGAUGGAGCAACGCCGCGUGAGUGAAGAAGGGUUUCGGCUCGUAAAGCUCUGUUGUUAAAGAAGAACGUGGGUGAGAGUAACUGUUCACCCAGUGACGGUAUUUAACCAGAAAGCCACGGCUAACUACGUGCCAGCAGCCGCGGUAAUACGUAGGUGGCAAGCGUUAUCCGGAUUUAUUGGGCGUAAAGCGAGCGCAGGCGGUCUUUUAAGUCUAAUGUGAAAGCCUUCGGCUCAACCGAAGAAGUGCAUUGGAAACUGGGAGACUUGAGUGCAGAAGAGGACAGUGGAACUCCAUGUGUAGCGGUGAAAUGCGUAGAUAUAUGGAAGAACACCAGUGGCGAAGGCGGCUGUCUGGUCUGUAACUGACGCUGAUCUCGAAAGCAUGGGUAGCGAACAGGAUUAGAUACCCUGGUAGUCCAUGCCGUAACGAUGAUUACUAAGUGUUGGAGGUUUUCCGCCCAUUCAGUUGCCUGCAGCUACGCCAUAAGUUAUUCCGGCCUUGGGGGUAAGUUACGAAACCUCGGACUACA
rnacentral:rRNA from 1 species